GAGGGCUCCAGGAACUCCAGCCAGCUCGAGUUCUCAAAUUAAAAUGCCCUAAAACUCCUGCCAUUCCGGAAUUCGCACGGUCGAAUAAAUGCAUUUGGUUGGAUACAUAGAGUCAUUCUUCUUCUUCUGGAUACAUUCUCUUCUUCUUCUUCUUCUUCUGGAGCCGUAGAGCCGUAGAGUCAUUCCAAAAUAGGGCAUCAUGGAUUUGAAACGACUCGAUAAUAGAUUGAUAUGCGGAGACGUGGGAUUUUGCAAAACUGAAGUUGGUCUUCAUGUCAUAUUCUGUGUGGUCUAGCAUCCAGAGGUCAAGGUUGGAUUUCAAAUUAGGUUUCAGGUUAUGAUAAGAAGGCAAUGAGCUGAGUUUCAUGUGAAUAUUCCAGCCCUCGCAAGCUUGAUGCUAUGCCUAUGGGAAUUUCUUGAUUUUCAAGUGCAUACCUACACCUAAAGUUUCUUUAACUGGCUUAUGUUACAAGAAGAUGUGUGCAGUUCGAAAAGUUCAGCCAACCAACUGCAUAAAGCAGUGACAGCAAUUAAUGCUCAGUUCUUUUAAAGGGGAUGGCAGCUGAGGCUUAAUUGUGGGACGGAGGGGAGAUUUGGUGGAGGAAUGGUUUGUACUUCGCUAUUGGGGCAUGAUAGGAGAGGAGGAGGUCAAAUAUUUGCAGUAACAAGUUGGUUGAGGAAACUCUAAAUAGGGAGAUGGACAGAGCUGCUGGAUAAAUUUUGUCAUCACAUGUUUCCCUUCAACUGAUGAGUGGUUAGAACUGAGUAAUCUUAACUGGGAACAAUAGCAGGUCCACAGUUCAUGCUCUUUACAGCUUUUUCUUAGUCUGCAGCUACAGGUGUAUGGUCUGGAGUCUCUAGGUUGUCACUCAGGUGUUAGAUCUUGAGAUCUGGAUUUCAAAUAUUAUUGUAUUCAGGAGUUUGCUCCUAUGUAAAAUCUGAAGACUGUAUAGUUGUAGCAGUAGGAUUUUUCACAUAAAAGUUGAAGCCAACCGCCUGUUGGUAUUUUUAGACGUGAUUGGUCGGUGUGAUUUAGUUUCAAGGUUAUAGGGAGCAUUGUGUAUCUGAUGGUUUUUCUUUCUUUUUUAUGUUUCUUUUGGCAAGGUAUCUGGGGCAGAGUGAGGUAUAAAAGUGGAUGAAAAUCUAUAUUUAACCCAAAAGAUGAAAGUAUAUGCUUCUAAAUCUUACCUUUCUGUGACCAGAUUAUCUCAACCUUGUAUAGUCUAACAGACUGAAAAGACACGAUGUCAAAUCGAAUUUGGUGAGCUGUAAAUCUGAUGAAUCAUGUGAAUUUGCAGGACCUCGAAAUCCCAGGGGUUACAGUGUUAACUAGAGGGGAUAAACUUGUAGAGAAGUGUUAGUUGACUGAGCUCAAGAAUAUGCCAUUUUUGGUUGGAAUUGCAGAGCAUUGAGAAAGAUGAAAAUUUUGAGCAGUGGAUAGAGAGAAUCAAGAAAAACUAACAAAAAAUGUGAUUAGAACGUUGAGCAAUUUCAGUUUGUUCACUUUACGUUUUCAUUGUCAGGGAGAUCCUUGAAAAUGAUGGCAGUAUAAUUGCCGGAAAGUAGCCACCCAUGACAUGGAUGAUGGUUCGCUGUUAUUGAAGCAGGCUGCUUUUACUUCUCUCCCAAAGGACAGAGGCCUCUAAUGCUCAAUCUUUGUAUGACGUUUAUUUGUCAAGAGGUGAAGAUGAUUAUAGUAGGGCUAUAUAAUCUGUAAUGUGAUUUUCCCCUUCUUUUUCUUACCCCAGGAUCUGCCUCCCCUUCUUUUAUUUUUGGCAUCAUUUUGGGAAUUGUGAUUAAUUGCAAGGUGUUCCUUUUACUGUUAUCUCUAAACAAUGCCUGCAAAUGAUGAGUAGCUCUCUUACAAGGUUAGUCAGCUUAGAUUGUUCCUUAGAUACUUUGAAGUUCUUCACAUGGUACUAUAUGAAAAGCUUUGGCAUGUAAUCUGGUUUCUUGAGUUUUAUGUGAAGACAUGAUUUGCUACAAUUGCAUGUUUUCCUUCAGAGGGUUGAUGUUUAGCCACUCGUGGAUGUGUUCAGUUUGAUUUAUCUUAUAUCGAAUAAUGAUUAAGGCUAUUGAUAUUGUUUUGUGCAUAAUGUUCAUUCAAAAGCUCUUCAUCCCAAAGCCUACGUGCCUCCAUUUGGAUCUUUUUGACAUUUUAUUUGGUUCUCUUGCUGUUUUGCCAGCAGGAUAGCUUGAUAUCUACUUAAAUAUUGUUUGGAAGUUGUCCAUCCACCAAAGCUCUUUGCAUGCAGGUGGCCUAAGAUUGUUUUAGGAUCAUAUUGGUUUGCAUCUUGGUUUACAAUCUCGCAUUGACAAAAUCUGAUAUGAAUUGUAACAUUCAUGUCUUCAUGUCUAUGUUUGAUGUCUGAUGUCCAAAACUCCUAUUCAUGUCAUUCUCCUAUUGAUUAAGGAAGUUGGCGAUCUUUGAUGGCGGUAACAAUGAAUUGUAGAGGAGGAUUAAUAAGGGACCCUUCAGUGGAUUUUGAAGAAUUUAUUCAAAGAGUUGAUGCCUGCACCAAGAAGUCAACAAUGAAAUGAGGCUACAUAGACAGGAGUUUCCAACUAAUUGUUCCCUAGAUAUGAUUAGUUGGGGUCCAGAUAUUACUAGUUGAGGAUAGAGCCCUGAUAAUAUUCAUCACCAAUCCCAAAAUUGUCAUAUAAUGCUUACAGACAGGAUGUGGUUUAGAGUGAAUGCACCUUGUUUUUAUGUUCGUACAUUGCUGUACUUUUAUUCUGUACAUUUCGACCGUGGAGUUCUUCCAAGAUUGGAAUCUAUUAUCUGA